GGAGACGAGUGUUAUUCAUCUUUAACAGGUAUAUAGGGUACCUAGACGGUGUGCAAUGGCUUAAAUAAGUACCUGGUACACUUGAGUUUGAUAUGUGAGAGGAAUAUGUCGGAAUUGUUGGAGGAAAGAUGAAAUUUGUUAAUACCAAUAGGACUGAUAACGGCGAAGGCAAACCUCUAUGUACAUGUACUUGCUAUUUCUGUUUUUAUUAUAGCAAAAUAGCAAUGUACUAUAACUGACGUUGAGGGACGAAGGCUCAGAGAGUGAAGAGGAUUAGAUACCCCCGUAACCUGGGCAGACAAUGAUGAGUGCCAUAGGUUGGCUU
rnacentral:ncRNA from 1 species